rnacentral:tRNA from 1 species
GCCUUCGUGGUGUAACUGUAGCGUACUCGGUUUAUAUUCGAGUUGCCCACGUUCGAGUUUCGGCGAGGGCA